rnacentral:rRNA from 1 species
GACGAACGCUGGCGGCGUGCUUAACACAUGCAAGUCGAACGGGCCUGUCUUCUUUUUUGGGGGGUGGGUUGAGUGGCGAACGGGUGAGUAUCACGUGAGUAACCUGCCCUUCGGUCCUGGAUAACCGCUUGAAAGGGCGGCUAAUACGGGGUGGUCCGGUUGGUCCGCAUGGGCUGGUCGGGAUAGAUUCACUGUUUUUGGUGUUUCGGCGGGGGAUGGGCUCGCGGCCUAUCAGCUUGUUGGUGGGGUGAUGGCCUACCAAGGCGGUGACGGGUAGCCGGAGGGGGAGGGUGGGCGGCCACACUGGGACUGGGAUACGGCCCAGACUCCUGCGGGAGGCAGCAGUGGGGGGUAUUGCACAAUGGGCGGAAGCCUGAUGCAGCGACGUCGCGUGAGGGAUGGAGGCCUUCGGGUUGUGAACCUCUGUUUCCGGUGGUGAAGGCCCUGUCCGUGUGGUGGGGUUGACGGUAGCCGGGGAUGAAGCGCCGGCUAACUACGUG